rnacentral:rRNA from 1 species
UACGAAGGGGCUAGCGUUGCUCGGAAUGACUGGGCGUAAAGGGUGCGUAGGCGGUCGUGCAAGUCGGAUGUGAAAUCUCAGGGCUCAACCCUGAAACUGCAUUCGAUACUGCGCGGCUAGAGUGCUGGAGGGGAGACUGGAAUUUACGGUGUAGCAGUGAAAUGCGUAGAUAUCGUAAGGAAGACCAGUGGCGAAGGCGAGUCUCUGGACAGCAACUGACGCUGAGGCACGAAGGCCAGGGGAGCAAACGGG